CCUUGUGUUUAUUGCUAAGCUAGCUAUGUUCAUAAAGGCUGCCUUUUACCGCUUAGCUAAACGCGUCCCCACAUGUGCGGAGAUGGAGACGCACAAACUCAAACUCAUUACGGUACAAACGCAGCUGAAUAAAUCCAGAGAAUCCGGGGGGUUUAGCCUGGCGGGGGCUCAGUAAACAGACGCCAGGCAGCCCAGUUAGCUUAGCCAACGCCUCCGUCUCUGAACUCACAUUCGGUUACUUUGUGCUGAUCUUACAAAAGCAGCAUGACUCAAAUCCGCUCAGUCCUUCGGUUAUUACACUUUGGACCAGAAGUCCGGUUUCGUCAGAACGUGGCCCCACCAGGUACUGGCGGUGGAGAGCGAGCUGUGAGUCACAGUGAGGCGAGCCAGAGGAGGCGGUGGUGGGGCUGUCGCAGAUCUGCCGCGGCAGCAUCUCCCACCCGUCUGCACACAGAGGAAGUCGCAAAACCAUGUUGGUUUUGCAUCCCGGAUCUCAGAUUACAUAUCAGGAGCGUGUGGUUUUGUAAGAGGACUUACAGCAUUUAAACAUCAGGAUUAAUGUAAUCGCUUUAUAAC